rnacentral:rRNA from 1 species
GACGAACGCUGGCGGCGUGCUUAACACAUGCAAGUCGAACGGAAAGGCCCUGCUUUUGUGGGGUGCUCGAGUGGCGAACGGGUGAGUAACACGUGAGUAACCUGCCCUGGACUUUGGGAUAACUUCAGGAAACUGGGGCUAAUACCGGAUAGGAGCUCCUGCUGCAUGGUGGGGGUUGGAAAGUUUCGGCGGUUGGGGAUGGACUCGCGGCUUAUCAGCUUGUUGGUGGGGUAGUGGCUUACCAAGGCUUUGACGGGUAGCCGGCCUGAGAGGGUGACCGGCCACAUUGGGACUGAGAUACGGCCCAGACUCCUACGGGAGGCAGCAGUGGGGAAUAUUGCACAAUGGGCGGAAGCCUGAUGCAGCAACGCCGCGUGCGGGAUGACGGCCUUCGGGUUGUAACCCGCUUUCGCCUGUGACGAAGCGUGAGUGACGGUAAUGGGUAAAGAAGCACCGGCUAACUACGUG